GACGAACGCUGGUGGCGUGCCUAAUACAUGCAAGUCGAGCGGACGGAUGGGAGCUUGCUCCCAGACCGUCAGCGGCGGACGGGUGAGUAACACGUGGGCAACCUGCCUGUAAGACUGGGAUAACUCCGGGAAACCGGGGCUAAUACCGGAUAACUCUUUCCCUCACAUGAGGGAAAGCUGAAAGAUGGCAUCUCGCUAUCACUUACAGAUGGGCCCGCGGCGCAUUAGCUAGUUGGUGAGGUAACGGCUCACCAAGGCGACGAUGCGUAGCCGACCUGAGAGGGUGAUCGGCCACACUGGGACUGAGACACGGCCCAGACUCCUACGGGAGGCAGCAGUAGGGAAUCUUCCGCAAUGGACGAAAGUCUGACGGAGCAACGCCGCGUGAGUGAUGAAGGUUUUCGGAUCGUAAAACUCUGUUGUCAGGGAAGAACAAGUACCGGAGUAACUGCCGGUACCUUGACGGUACCUGACCAGAAAGCCACGGCUAACUACGUG
rnacentral:rRNA from 1 species